rnacentral:rRNA from 1 species
CAGUCGCCGCGGGAAUACGUAGGUCCCGAGCGUUGUCCGGAUUUAUUGGGCGUAAAGGGAGCGCAGGCGGUUUAGUAAGUCUGAAGUUAAAGGCAUUGGCUCAACCAAUGUAUGCUUUGGAAAUUGUUAGACUUGAGUGCAGAAGGGGAGAGUGGAAUUCUAUGUGUAGCGGUGAAAUGCGUAGAUAUAUGGAGGAACACCGGUGGCGAAAGCGGCUCUCUGGUCUGUCACUGACGCUGAGGCUCGAAAGCGUGGGUAGCGAACAGGAUUAGAUACCCCUGUAGUCCCUGUCUCUUAUACA